rnacentral:tRNA from 1 species
AACUUACUGAAGUUGGAGUCAUUACCUGGAAAGUGUGUAUACGGCAACGUAUCGGGGGUUCGAAUCCCCCCCUCACCGCCA